rnacentral:rRNA from 1 species
AGUGAACGCUGGCGGUAGGCCUAACACAUGCAAGUCGAACGGCAGCACAGUAAGAGCUUGCUCUUACGGGUGGCGAGUGGCGGACGGGUGAGGAAUACAUCGGAAUCUACUUUUUCGUGGGGGAUAACGUAGGGAAACUUACGCUAAUACCGCAUACGACCUACUGGUGAAAGCAGGGGAUCUUCGGACCUUGCGCGAUUGAAUGAGCCGAUGUCGGAUUAGCUAGUUGGCGGGGUAAAGGCCCACCAAGGCGACGCUCCGUAGCUGGUCUGAGAGGAUGAUCAGCCACACUGGAACUGAGACACGGUCCAGACUCCUACGGGAGGCAGCAGUGGGGAAUAUUGGACAAUGGGCGCAAGCCUGAUCCAGCCAUACCGCGUGGGUGAAGAAGGCCUUCGGGUUGUAAAGCCCUUUUGUUGGGAAAGAAAAGCAGCAGGUUAAUACCCCGCUGUUCUGACGGUACCCAAAGAAUAAGCACCGGCUAACUUCGUG